UGUUGUUAUUUGGUGCAGCUUUUUUCCUAAUAUUUAACUCAUUCCCACCUUCUCCAAUUAUUCCAACCUAUUCUUUAUGAAGUUGUCUAAUGAAGUUCUUGAAAUGGUAAAGAAACUACUAUUAAAUGUUCUUAAUUUGUUGGGUGUUUUCUUUAUUUACAGGGAAUCAAUAAAUCUGCUCUUUGACAUUGUUGAAAUUACCUAAUGUAGGAAAGAUCAAAUAUAGUUCAGGACUAAAGGCAUAUAUGGGAGCAUGUCAAUUUAUCUUAUCUUGGUGGUUUUGGUUCUACUGCUCAAGAUGUGGGCCACUUUGUAGUCAAUUAUCGUCUUGCACAAAACACGCAAUGUAUUAGUAUUAAUUAUUUUCUUAUGGAUAUUCUUUUUGAUUUACUUUUGAUCAACUAUGUAGUUUUGAGUAUUACAUAUAUAUUCAUUGAUAUUUACUUUUCAUGUUUUGGCAUUUGUUUUUUUGUUCAA